rnacentral:rRNA from 1 species
GACGAACGCUGGCGGCGUGCUUAACACAUGCAAGUCGAACGGAAAGGCCCUGCUUUUGUGGGGUGCUCGAGUGGCGAACGGGUGAGUAACACGUGAGUAACCCGCCCUUGACUUUGGGAUAACUUCAGGAAACUGGGGCUAAUACCGGAUAGGAGCUCCUGCUGCAUGGUGGGGGUUGGAAAGUUUCGGCGGUUGGGGAUGGACUCGCGGCUUAUCAGCUUGUUGGUGGGGUAGUGGCUUACCAAGGCUUUGACGGGUAGCCGGCCUGAGAGGGUGACCGGCCACAUUGGGACUGAGAUACGGCCCAGACUCCUACGGGAGGCAGCAGUGGGGAAUAUUGCACAAUGGGCGGAAGCCUGAUGCAGCAACGCCGCGUGCGGGAUGACGGCCUUCGGGUUGUAAACCGCUUUCGCCUGUGACGAAGCGUGAGUGACGGUAAUGGGUAAAGAAGCACCGGCUAACUACGUGCCAGCAGCCGCGGUGAUACGUAGGGUGCGAGCGUUGUCCGGAUUUAUUGGGCGUAAAGGGCUCGUAGGUGGUUGAUCGCGUCGGAAGUGUAAUCUUGGGGCUUAACCCUGAGCGUGCUUUCGAUACGGGUUGACUUGAGGAAGGUAGGGGAGAAUGGAAUUCCUGGUGGAGCGGUGGAAUGCGCAGAUAUCAGGAGGAACACCAGUGGCGAAGGCGGUUCUCUGGGCCUUUCCUGACGCUGAGGAGCGAAAGCGUGGGGAGCGAACAGGCUUAGAUACCCUGGUAGUCCACGCUGUAAACGGUGGGUACUAGGUGUGGGGUCCAUUCCACGGGUUCCGUGCCGUAGCUAACGCUUUAAGUACCCCGCCUGGGGAGUACGGCCGCAAGGCUAAAACUCAAAGGAAUUGACGGGGCCCCGCACAAGCGGCGGAGCAUGCGGAUUAAUUCGAUGCAACGCGUAGAACCUUACCUGGGUUUGACAUGGAUCGGGAGUGCUCAGAGAUGGGUGUGCCUCUUUUGGGGUCGGUUCACAGGUGGUGCAUGGCUGUCGUCAGCUCGUGUCGUGAGAUGUUGGGUUAAGUCCCGCAACGAGCGCAACCCUUGUUCACUGUUGCCAGCACGUUAUGGUGGGGACUCAGUGGAGACCGCCGGGGUCAACUCGGAGGAAGGUGGGGAUGACGUCAAGUCAUCAUGCCCCUUAUGUCCAGGGCUUCACGCAUGCUACAAUGGCUGGUACAGAGAGUGGCGAGCCUGUGAGGGUGAGCGAAUCUCGGAAAGUCGGUCUCAGUUCGGAUUGGGGUCUGCAACUCGACCUCAUGAAGUCGGAGUCGCUAGUAAUCGCAGAUCAGCAACGCUGCGGUGAAUACGUUCCCGGGGCU